AUUGAACGCUGGCGGCAGGCCUAACACAUGCAAGUCGAGCGGAUGAAGGGAGCUUGCUCCUGGAUUCAGCGGCGGACGGGUGAGUAAUGCCUAGGAAUCUGCCUGGUAGUGGGGGAUAACGUUCGGAAACGGGCGCUAAUACCGCAUACGUCCUGAGGGAGAAAGUGGGGGAUCUUCGGACCUCACGCUAUCAGAUGAGCCUAGGUCGGAUUGGCUAGUUGGUGGGGUAAAGGCCUACCAAGGCGACGAUCCGUAACUGGUCUGAGAGGAUGAUCAGUCACACUGGAACUGAGACACGGUCCAGACUCCUACGGGAGGCAGCAGUGGGGAAUAUUGGACAAUGGGCGAAAGCCUGAUCCAGCCAUGCCGCGUGUGUGAAGAAGGUCUUCGGAUUGUAAAGCACUUUAAGUUGGGAGGAAGGGCAGUAAGUUAAUACCUUGCUGUUUUGACGUUACCAACAGAAUAAGCACCGGCUAACUUCGUG
rnacentral:rRNA from 1 species